AAGGCACAAGUUUCUUCCAAGCUGCUCUAAAAUCUCUUUAAGUGUGUAAGCUUCUAAUUAAAGAGAUCCUUUGGAAAUGGCAUCCAUGAAUGCAGAGAGGCUUGGAACUUCCAAAAGUCUGGGAAUCGGAAGCAAAGUCAGUGAAGCUAAGCCAAAGGCCUCUUCACCAAAGUCACCAGCUGCUAAGAAGACUGAACAGACGCCUCGCGCACCAACAAAGAAAGUUCAGGCGAAAGUCAGUAAAUCAGCGGCGAAAAAUUAAGAAAGCAGCAUGAGAAGCACCAUAAAUCGCCUGUACUGAUGCAGAAAAAGCUUAUGUUUUUCAUUUUACUUGGUUUGGUUUUUUCUUUUGUUGCAACUUAUUUAACGAGAAGAAGUUUGUCUACUGAUUCUCUUACCAGGUUGAAUGUAAGAUCUAUGUUAAGUUUGCUUGCUGCAAUAAAAUGAAAGCUUUAUUAGAAUAAACGUAUCAAUGAUGUAAGCGAUAGGAUGAAGGCUUCGUUUGAGAUGUUUUUUUACUACUUCUUAAAGCAGCUUUUUAGUACAACAUUUUUGGAUUUUGUACUAAAAAGAUGUUUUAAGAAGCAGGAAGAAAGCUGUCCCAAACGAAGCCGAAAUCUUGGUUUGAAUCAAAGGAAAACAAACAAGAAUUCAACAUUAAAAACUAAACCGGAAACGUAAGCAUGAAAGAUGUUUUCUUUCAAAUUCUGUUUGGACGGUUUUUUUAUUGCUUACUAAAACAGUUUUCUAGUACAAAAAUUUUUUGAGCUUGAAAUUUUUGUACUAAAUACUGUUUUAAAAAGUAUAGUUGUCUAAAACUCAAAGCUGAGAUAAUAAAGAAAAACUCUACUGUUGUCAUCCACAUAGCAACAAAUUAUUUAUUUACAUUGAUGUCAAUUUUGAAUAAGAUAUAUAACUACUACAAACACUAUAAAUUUCAACCAUAGACUCAACUCUAUCAUGUCCACAGAAAUUGCUCUUACUAAUUCAUUCAACUUACAUUUAACACAAAUGGAUCUGAAGAUUUAAACAACAGGUUUAGCUUUCUCCGUAGUUCUUAACCUGACUUGAUGACCAUAUUAGCUCUGGUAUCAGGACCAGCAGUGUUGUCCACUAAGAGCAUCUCCAAUCGAAAAGUCUCCUUUUUCACUCCAAAAUGCAGUGAAACUUAAAAAAGUUGUGAUUCAUCUCAAAUCGAACUCCAUUUUGCGCACUUCUGCCAAGGUAACUGUCUUUCUCCUCUUUCGUACGUUUCUUCGGCAAAUCGGGUUAAGACAGAAAAAAUCGCGUAUGUGAACACUGCAACGCCAAUAUUGGCGUCGUACUGUUCAUCCGCAAGCAAAUAGCGGAAGAUUUGGCAUUCGGCUGGAGCUACCGAACGAUGCCAUACGCAUAUUUGCCGUUCGGUUGGAGGUGCUCCAUGGGAGUGGUGUAGCUUGUUCCGCAAAUGGAGACCAUUCAUCAGCUCUCUGAGCAUAAGCCUGCACUCUUACAUGAACCAGGGCGCCUUUGAGAGUUUUAUGUCGCUCAACAGGUUGUUUAUUCUUAAGAACCAUAAGCUCUAACUCCAUCUGCAAUAGUUCU